rnacentral:rRNA from 1 species
AUGAACGCUGGCGGCGUGCCUAAUACAUGCAAGUCGAGCGAACGGAUGAGGAGCUUGCUCCUCUGACGUUAGCGGCGGACGGGUGAGUAACACGUGGAUAACCUACCUAUAAGACUGGGAUAACUUCGGGAAACCGGAGCUAAUACCGGAUAAUAUAUUGAACCGCAUGGUUCAAUAGUGAAAGACGGUUUUGCUGUCACUUAUAGAUGGAUCCGCGCCGCAUUAGCUAGUUGGUAAGGUAACGGCUUACCAAGGCAACGAUGCGUAGCCGACCUGAGAGGGUGAUCGGCCACACUGGAACUGAGACACGGUCCAGACUCCUACGGGAGGCAGCAGUAGGGAAUCUUCCGCAAUGGGCGAAAGCCUGACGGAGCAACGCCGCGUGAGUGAUGAAGGUCUUCGGAUCGUAAAACUCUGUUAUUAGGGAAGAACAAAUGUGUAAGUAACUAUGCACGUCUUGACGGUACCUAAUCAGAAAGCCACGGCUAACUACGUG